rnacentral:rRNA from 1 species
UAGGGAAUCUUCGGCAAUGGACGGAAGUCUGACCGAGCAACGCCGCGUGAGUGAAGAAGGUUUUCGGAUCGUAAAGCUCUGUUGUAAGAGAAGAACGAGUGUGAGAGUGGAAAGUUCACACUGUGACGGUAUCUUACCAGAAAGGGACGGCUAACUACGUGCCAGCAGCCGCGGUAAUACGUAGGUCCCGAGCGUUGUCCGGAUUUAUUGGGCGUAAAGCGAGCGCAGGCGGUUAGAUAAGUCUGAAGUUAAAGGCUGUGGCUUAACCAUAGUAGGCUUUGGAAACUGUUUAACUUGAGUGCAAGAGGGGAGAGUGGAAUUCCAUGUGUAGCGGUGAAAUGCGUAGAUAUAUGGAGGAACACCGGUGGCGAAAGCGGCUCUCUGGCUUGUAACUGACGCUGAGGUUCGAAAGCGUGGGGAGCAAACAGGAUUAGAUACCCUGGUAGUCCACGCUGUAAACGAUGAGUGCUAGGCGUUAGACCCUUUCCGGGGUUUAGUGCCGUAGCUAACGCAUUAAGCACUCCGCCUGGGGAGUACGACCGCAAGGUUG